AUUGAAUAUGCCGAACAUGAACCCAUCUUUCUGAAGACACAACCGACAAAUUGUUGCAUAACUUUGCCAUCCAUUAAUUCUAUCCAUUUUAGUAACACUUUCAGUUCACUUAAAAUUCACAGAAAUACCGACUAUAUUUCGAGCACCUGGUUCCGAUUGUUGAUAAACUUGGGACACAAAAUGAUGGAGUCUUAGUAGGGUUAUGGAUGGGGCAACUACCUCGCCUACAUUGAAGUGAAAAGGGCGGUUCUUAUAGACUUGCGCGCGUGGCCCCAUUUUGAUAUUUGUUGAGCGAAAUGAAAUUAUUUGUCUUACAAUAUCUCGUCCCAAUAUAUUUUUUAUGUGCAUGAAUAUUAGUAUAAGACAUAUAAAUAACUCAAUUUUUACUGUUAUAUUGAUAAAUUUCAUGAACUUAUGUGUCUUAUCUGAUAGAACUAUUAAUGAAUGAGUUUGCGAAACGUAUAAGAGUAAUAUAUUUUCGAAUACAUUAUGUGUAACAUUUUAAUGAUUUGUAUCAAAAUAAAAUUCAUGUUUAAUGGUAAA